UGACACUUAAGCAGCUCAAUGGAGAGGCUACCUGGUGAGGAAUGAGGCCACCUUCCAACAGCCAGCAAGGAACUGCCACUUUCUGACAACAGCCAUGUGAGUCAUCGUGGAAGCUGAUCUUCCUGCUCCAGUCAAGCCUUUCAGAUGACUGCAGCACUGGCUAAUAUAUUGACUACAACUUCAUAAGAGACCCUGAGCCAGAACUCAAAGUUCUGACCCACGAAAACUAUGAGGAAAUACAGAGGACAAAGGAACCUGUUUAAACAUACCAAAAUGAUGCUUCCAACAAAAUCCAAAAUGCAGAAAAUUCUACAGAGUAAAUGACCUGGUGUCUUAGACAAAUAAAUGGCCAAGAAAAAGAGAGGGAGAACUAGAGAUUAAAAGAGACUCUAUAAUUUUAUAUGCAGAUCUUGUUUGGAAUUCUGACUCAAACCAACUGGUAAGGAAGAAAUGUUUGCGACAUUCUAGGAAAUUGAACAGACUGGAUAUUUGAUAUUAAUAAAUACUACUAUUUAGCUGUAAUAAAAGUGUUUUGAUAACAUUCUUUUGAAAAUAGAGGGACCUUAACUUUCUUUUUUUUUUUUUUUUGAGACGGAGUCUUGCUUUGUCGCCCAGGCUGGAGUGCAGUGGGACCAUCUCGGCUCACUGCAAACUCCACUUCCUGGUUCAAGUGAUUCUCCUUGAAGGGAGAGGCUGAAUUCUUGGCCUCCCAAGUAGCUGGGAUUACUGGCGCUGGCCACAGCAGGGCAAAUUUUUGUAUUUUUAGCAGAGAUAGUGUUGGCCAGGCUAGUCUUGAAUUCCUGACCUCAGGUGAUCUCCCCGCCUCGGCCUCCCAAGGUGCUGGGAUUACAGGCGUGAGCCACCAUGCCUGGCCACAUACUGAAAUAUUCACAAGAAAUAAUAAUCUGGGAUCUGCUCUAAAAAUAAUUCAAUAGAGGAGGAAGGAGUUAAUGGGAGUACUAAUAAAACAAGA
rnacentral:lncRNA from 1 species